rnacentral:lncRNA from 1 species
GCCGGAAAACUGGAACACUGUAUCGCCGGAAAAAGUACUGUAGCUGCUGGAAAAAUUCAAAGUUGUCGGAAUUCAAAAAUAAAAAUAUGGAUAGGCUCGGAAUUCAAGGGUGAGCAGACUGUCCUGAAGAAAUUCUGGCCGGAAAGUACUGUAGCUGCCGGAAAAGUCAAUAAAGUCGCUGGAAAAAACUCAAAGUUGUCGGAAUCGAACGAAAAAAGAAUGGGUAGGGUCGGAAUUGAAGGGUGAGCAAACUGUCAUGAAGGAGUCACCGGAAAAAAUGGCCGGAAGUGGUGCCACGCGCCGGCGCGUGGGCUCACGCGCCGAAGGUGUUGGCGGCGCGUGGGGGCGCGUGUGUGGUUCUUUUCCGGUGAUUUUUUCUGGGGUUGGUCGGAAUUCUCUUCCGAACCUCGUGGUGGUCUCGGAUUUUGCACAACACCAGUUAGUUAUGGACAGCCUCUUAAGUCGCCGGAAAAUUGCACGGCGACGAGUUCUUUCUUCCCGGAAGUAGCUGGAAUGACGCACAGCUAUCAUAUUCUCACCAAAGCUCUGAUACCAUGUGAGAAAGAACGGGAGAAAAAUAUAUAUCUUG